rnacentral:rRNA from 1 species
GACGAACGCUGGCGGCGUGCUUAACACAUGCAAGUCGAACGGAAAGGCCCUGCUUGCAGGGUGCUCGAGUGGCGGACGGGUGAGUAACACGUGGGUGAUCUGCCCCUUACUUUGGGAUAAGCCUGGGAAACUGGGUCUAAUACUGGAUAGGACCAUGCUGUAGGUGGUGUGGUGGAAAGAUUAGUUUCGGUAAGGGAUGAGCUCGCGGCCUAUCAGCUUGUUGGUGGGGUAAUGGCCUACCAAGGCGUCGACGGGUAGCCGGCCUGAGAGGGUGGACGGCCACAUUGGGACUGAGAUACGGCCCAGACUCCUACGGGAGGCAGCAGUGGGGAAUAGUGCACAAUGGGCGCAAGCCUGAUGCAGCGACGCCGCGUGGGGGAUGACGGCCUUCGGGUUGUAAACUCCUUUCAGCCAUGACGAAGCCCUUGUGGUGACGGUAGUGGUAGAAGAAGCACCGGCUAACUACGUG